AAAAAAAUAGACAAAACUUCGGAAUUCAUUCGCUCUUGAUUCGCUCAUUGGACAUUGUAGGCAAUCGUAUAGUAAUCAUGUUUUGAAGGCUCCCGGUACCAAAAUAAAGUAAGAUUAUUUUGUGAACUCAACAAAACGUACCCAUAAUAGGUUGUUAAUAUAAAAAUGGCGGUGUCCUCGUAAUAAUAUCUAAAAUUUGGAUAAAUCAAAUUGAAAAAUUGCGAAAGAUAAGUAAUAUGCAUUAAAGAAUGCAUGAAAGAGGCAUGAAAGAGCAAUUGAAAUAGCAAGCAGAACAUUGUGCAGAGUGCGCGAAGCUCCCUGACCCUGAAGUUACAAAGACAAAGUUGUGUUGAUUGCCGGCUUGCCCAAACAUUGAACAAGGAAGUACCGGCUUGGGAGAUGUUCAUGUGGUAGUGAGAACUUCAAGUUGGGGGAGGCGCCACCAUGUCUACACUUAAAAUAUUCAUAUUUGUAUCAUACAUCUGAAAAUGUAAAAAUAUAGUACCUACAUUGUUUUCAUUUUAAGUUUAAUAAAAAUGAAAUUAAAAGUAUACAUAAGUACUGCAAGUUUUUAAAUGAUUUAUCAACUCUUUAUUAUGCAAAUACAAUAAUUGAUUUAAAUUUAAAAUAAAAAUAUAAAUACCAUUAAACUAUUAGUGUAGGAAUUAUUCAUUGUGAUGUAAAUAUAAAGUUUUUGUUUAUUGCAUUUUAAGUUUUAAAGGCUGGUAUUAUAAAUAAAAAUUUAAUUUUUUUUAA